GUUUGUAUAUGAUGAUUAAUAUCCUUACCUACAUUGUUUGAUUUUCAAAUUGAAAAGUAAAAAGUAUCUGAUACAGUU